CCUACGGGAGGCAGCAGUGAGGAAUAUUGGUCAAUGGUCGGGAGACUGAACCAGCCAAGCCGCGUGAGGGAGGAAGGUACAGAGUAUCGUAAACCUCUUUUGUCAGGGAACAAAGGCGGGGACGUGUCCCCGGAUGAGUGUACCUGAAGAAAAAGCAUCGGCUAACUCCGUGCCAGCAGCCGCGGUAAUACGGAGGAUGCGAGCGUUAUCCGGAUUUAUUGGGUUUAAAGGGUGCGCAGGCGGUCUGUUAAGUCAGCGGUCAAAGCCCGGGGCUCAACCCCGGCGCGCCGUUGAAACUGGCAGUCGCGAGUUGGAGAGAAGUAUGCGGAAUGCGCGGUGUAGCGGUGAAAUGCAUAGAUAGCGCGCAGAACUCCGAUUGCGAAGGCAGCAUGCCGGCUCCACACUGAUGCUGAGGCACGAAAGCGUGGGUAUCGAACAGGAUUAGAUACCCGAGUAGUC
rnacentral:rRNA from 1 species